rnacentral:rRNA from 1 species
CGGCGGCCGUAACUAUAACGGUCCUAAGGUAGCGAAAUUCCUUGUCGGGUAAGUUCCGACCUGCACGAAUGGCGUAAUGAUGGCCAGGCUGUCUCCACCCGAGACUCAGUGAAAUUGAAAUCGCUGUGAAGAUGCAGUGUACCCGCGGCAAGACGGAAAGACCCCGUGAACCUUUACUAUAGCUUGACACUGAACAUUGAGCCUUGAUGUGUAGGAUAGGUGGGAGGCUUUGAAGCGCGGACGCCAGUCUGCGUGGAGCCAACCUUGAAAUACCACCCUUUAAUGUUUGAUGUUCUAACGUAGGCCCGUAAUCCGGGCUGCGGACAGUGUCUGGUGGGUAGUUUGACUGGGGCGGUCUCCUCCCAAAGCGUAACGGAGGAGCACGAAGGUUGGCUAAUCCUGGUCGGACAUCAGGAGGUUAGUGCAAUGGCAUAAGCCAGCUUGACUGCGAGAGUGACGGCUCGAGCAGGUGCGAAAGCAGGUCAUAGUGAUCCGGUGGUUCUGAAUGGAAGGGCCAUCGCUCAACGGAUAAAAGGUACUCCGGGGAUAACAGGCUGAUACCGCCCAAGAGUUCAUAUCGACGGCGGUGUUUGGCACCUCGAUGUCGGCUCAUCACAUCCUGGGGCUGAAGUAGGUCCCAAGGGUACGGCUGUUCGCCGUUUAAAGUGGUACGCGAGCUGGGUUUAGAACGUCGUGAGACAGUUCGGUCCCUAUCUGCCGUGGGCGCUGGAGAAUUGAGGGGGGUUGCUCCUAGUACGAGAGGACCGGAGUGAACGCACCGCUGGUGUUCGGGUUGUCAUGCCAAUGGCACUGCCCGGUAGCUAAGUGCGGAAGAGAUAAGUGCUGAAAGCAUCUAAGCACGAAACUUGCCCCGAGAUGAGUUCUCCCUGACCCCUUGAGGGUCCUGAAGGGACGUUGAAGACGACGACGUUGAUAGGCCGGGUGUGUAAGCGCAGCGAUGCGUUGAGCUAACCGGUACUAAUGACCCGUGAGGCUUAACCUUACAACGCCAGAGGCGUUUUG